rnacentral:pre_miRNA from 1 species
AUAAAAGAGACCACUAAGUGGACUGCUAAUGUGCUAGAAGAUGAUCACUUAAAAAUUGAGAACUUUUCAGUGAUCUUCUUCUAGCACAUUAGCAGUCCACUUAGUGGUCUCUUUU